rnacentral:rRNA from 1 species
UACAGAGGAGCCAAGCGUUGUCCGGAUUGACUGGGCGUAAAGCGCACGCAGGCGGAUGCGCGCGUGGGGUGUGAAAUCUGGCCGCUUAACGGCCAGGCGCCAUCCCAUACGGCGCGUCUGGAGUGAUGCAGAGGUCGAUGGAAUUGCCGGUGUAGUGGUGAAAUGCGUAGAGAUCGGCAGGAACACUCAGGGGGAAACCAGUCGACUGGGCAUCUACUGACGCUGAGGUGCGAGAGCGUGGGGAGCGAACCGG